rfam:Schistosoma mansoni, Puerto Rico, WGS project CABG01000000 data, contig: 0428
GCACUGUUGAGGAGUCCCAUAAUAGGACGAAACGGGUGUCCGGUGC